GGCGCCUGGAGCCCCUCCUUUCAAGGAAGCUGUGAAAGGCGCUCUCGGGCGCCACGCCANCCAUCNUAGUUCAGCCCCGCCGUCCGCAAGGACGAGGCGGGAGGCGANCUCGAAGGAAGCAGAUCGCAUCCCCCGUAUGGCCUGCCGUUCAGUUUCCAGGGACCGAGCCCGGUGCGCUUCGGCGUGUCGGCGGUUCUCUGAAAGUCCAUGGAGUGUCGGAACGAUUCAGGCUGCCGGGCCUAUAGCUCAGUUGGUUUAGAGCGCACGCCUGAUAAGCGUGAGGUCGGUGGUUCAAAUCCACCUAGGCCCACCAGCUUUCCGACGACCAGUUCGAUGGGGCUGUAGCUCAGUUGGUAGAGCGCCAGCUUUGCAAGCUGGAUGUCGUCGGUUCGACUCCGAUCAGCUCCACCAGUCUCUUCGGGACCUCGUGUCCCGGCGCGCCGAGAGGCGCGUGGCCAGAGCACUCUGACAACCGAAUACGAAGGGUAAAGAAAGCAUCGACCAGCUGGUCUUUGCGAGGUUCGCGUCCCAAAGUCUUGAGGACCUGGACCUCGACCUCGACUCCGCGCCACUCGAGCAUCGCUCGAGAGGUCUGAGUUUCGGGUGACCAAGCUACUAAGGGCGUGUGGUGGAUGCCUUGGCUCUAGGAGGCGAUGAAGGACGUGGGUGGCUGCGAAAAGCCACGGGGAGCUGCCAACCAGGCUUUGAUCCGUGGAUGUCCGAAUGGGGAAACCCGG
rnacentral:misc_RNA from 1 species